rnacentral:lncRNA from 1 species
CCGAAAGCCAUGUGAGUCUAACAUACAUUCUUCCUCAUUACCAGAGAGAAGACGACCUGGGGUGACCCUCACAUGGUGCCAAAGUGGUCAGCUCCAUCUGGAGAGCAGCAGAGGUCAAAGCGAGGUCCGAUGGGAUGGAACAUGAGAGCAGGAAGCCAGAAAGUAACACCUACCCCUGGCCAAUACUGUCCUAUCUCCAUAGCCCUCUUGGGCAGCAAAAUUCUAUGACUCUCAAGCAAGUUGAUUGCAGCGAACAUGUGAAAACAUGUUUCUGUAGGU